rnacentral:rRNA from 1 species
UACGUAGGGUGCAAGCGUUGUCCGGAAUUAUUGGGCGUAAAGAGCUCGUAGGCGGUCUGUCGCGUCGGCUGUGAAAACCUGGGGCUUAACUCCGGGCCUGCAGCCGAUACGGGCAGACUAGAGUUCGGCAGGGGAGACUGGAAUUCCUGGUGUAGCGGUGAAAUGCGCAGAUAUCAGGAGGAACACCGGUGGCGAAGGCGGCUUGCUGGGCCUUACCUGACGCUGAGGAGCGAAAGCGUGGGGAGCGAACAGG